GUAUUCACCCAAAAAAUUAGCAAAUGCACAGAACUCUCACAAGAAAUUAAGCAUCUUUGGGGAAUGCAAAAGGUAGUUACAGUACCCAUCAUUCUAUCUGCAACAGGAGUAAUUCCUCAUUCACUACACAAAAGCCUCAAAACACUAGAUUUAUAUCCCAAGACACACACAACACUACAAAAGGCAUCACUAUUCAAUACACGCAACAUAGUAAGAAAAAAGUUUCUCACCACUGACAGACAAUUAACACAACUAAACAUUUCAAGUAGCUGUGUCUUGACUUGUCUGACAUAACACUUUGCUCUGGAGUUAGUCUGUGC
rnacentral:lncRNA from 1 species